CUUGCACCUUUCAAGUGAGUGGCGAACGGGUGAGUAACAUGUGGAGUAACCUGCCUCAAGGCUGGGGAUAACAUUUGGAAACAGAUGCUAAUACCGAAUAAAACUUAGUAUCGCAUGAUAUAAGUUAAAAGGCGCUUCGGCGUCACCUAGAGAUGGAUCCGCGGUGCAUUAGUUAGUUGGUGGGGUAAAGGCCUACCAAGACAAUGAUGCAUAGCCGAGUUGAGAGACCGAUCGGCCACAUUGGGACUGAGACACGGCCCCAAACUCC
rnacentral:rRNA from 1 species